rnacentral:rRNA from 1 species
ACGAAGGGGGUUAGCGUUGCUCGGAAUCACUGGGCGUAAAGCGCACGUAGGCGGAUUGUUAAGUCAGGGGUGAAAUCCUGGAGCUCAACUCCAGAACUGCCUUUGAUACUGGCGAUCUUGAGUCCGGGAGAGGUGAGUGGAAUUGCGAGUGUAGAGGUGAAAUUCGUAGAUAUUCGCAAGAACACCAGUGGCGAAGGCGGCUCACUGGCCCGGUACUGACGCUGAGGUGCGAAAGCGUGGGGAGCAAACAG